rnacentral:lncRNA from 1 species
AAGGCACAAGACUACUGAAAACCAUGCUGCUCCAGAACGGAGGUUUCAUUUCUUUGUGGAAACUGCCCUCCGGGGUUAUAAUCCUCACCCUGGCUCAAGUAAGACUCACCUUCUCUCUCUUAUCUGGAGAAUGGUUCUUGGUUAUUCUGUGUCAACAGCCACCAAGACUGCAAUGUCCCAGGGGGCACGACCCUGUCCUGGGGCACGUGCGAGCUUGCCCCAGGGGAGCUACUGGGCUCCCCACUGCCUGGCUCCUGACAGAGGGGUGCCUUCUCCUGUGGCUCCUCCCAACCCCGACGCCUGUGCAGGGCUCUGCUGGGCUCCUGCAUCCACUCAUGGGAAACACCCAUCUCUGCCAAGUGGCAGCAGGUAAUGAAAAUGUCCUGAAAUUGAUCCUGGUGAUGGUUGCACAACUCCAUGAAU